rnacentral:rRNA from 1 species
CAGCCGCCGCGGUAAUACGGAGGGUGCAAGCGUUAAUCGGAAUUACUGGGCGUAAAGCGCACGCAGGCGGUCUGACAAGUCAGAUGUGAAAUCCCCGGGCUUAACCUGGGAACUGCAUUCGAAACUGUCAGGCUGGAGUCUUGUAGAGGGGGGUGGAAUUCCAGGUGUAGCGGUGAAAUGCGUAGAGAUCUGGAGGAAUACCGGUGGCGAAGGCGGCCCCCUGGACAAAGACUGACGCUCAGGUGCGAAAGCGUGGGGAGCAAACAGGAUUAGAUACCCCUGUAGUCCCUGUCUCUUAUAC